rnacentral:rRNA from 1 species
UACGUAGGGCGCAAGCGUUGUCCGGAAUUAUUGGGCGUAAAGAGCUCGUAGGCGGCUCAGUAAGUCGGGUGUGAAACCUCCAGGCUCAACCUGGAGACGCCACCCGAUACUGCUGUGGCUAGAGUCCAGUAGGGGAGUGUGGAAUUCCCGGUGUAGCGGUGAAAUGCGCAGAUAUCGGGAGGAACACCAGCGGCGAAGGCGGCACUCUGGGCUGGUACUGACGCUGAGGAGCGAAAGCGUGGGUAGCAAACAGG